GUAUGGUGCAAGCGUUAUCCGGAUUUACUGGGUGUAAAGGGAGCGUAGACGGAUAGGCAAGUCAGGAGUGAAAGCCCGGGGCUCAACCCCGGGACUGCUUUGGAAACUGUUUAUCUAGAGUGCUGGAGAGGUAAGUGGAAUUCCUAGUGUAGCGGUGAAAUGCAUAGAUAUUAGGAGGAACACCAGUGGCGAAGGCGGCUUACUGGACAGUAACUGACGUUGAGGCUCGAAAGCGUGGGGAGCAAACAGGAUUAGAUACCCUGGUAGUCCACGCCGUAAACGAUGACUGCUAGGUGUCGGGUGGCAAAGCCAUCCGGUGCCGCAGCUAACGCAAUAAGCAGUCCACCUGGGGAGUACGUUCGCAAGAAUG
rnacentral:rRNA from 1 species